AGAGUUUGACUCCUGGCUCGAGGACGACGCUGGCGGCGUGCUUAACACAUGCAAGUCGAACGGGGAUAUCCGAGCGGAAGGCUUCGGCCGGAAGGUUGGAUAUUCCAGUGGCGGACGGGUGAGUAACGCGUGAGCAAUCUGUCCCAGACAGGGGGAUAACACUUGGAAACAGGUGCUAAUACCGCAUAAGACCACGGUAACGCAUGGUACUGAGGUAAAAGGAGGAAUCCGGUUUGGGGUGAGCUCGCGUCCGAUUAGAUAGUUGGUGAGGUAACGGCCCACCAAGUCGACGAUCGGUAGCCGACCUGAGAGGGUGAUCGGCCACAUUGGAACUGAGAGACGGUCCAAACUCC
rnacentral:rRNA from 1 species